GCCCGGGUCCUGCGCAACCGCGGUCCCGUGAACCCCGUCAGGUCCGGAAGGAAGCAGCGGUAAACGGGUUCCGGGUGUGCCGCAGGGUAGCCCGGGUUUG
rfam:Nitrospirae bacterium GWC2_57_9 gwc2_scaffold_3038, whole genome shotgun sequence.